GAGUUUGAUCGUGGCUCAGGAUGAACGCUAGCGGCAGGCUUAAUACAUGCAAGUCGAGGGGUAGUGGUAGCAAUACCACGAGACCGGCAAACGGGUGCGGAACACGUACACAACCUACCUUGAGAUGGGGGAUAGCCCAGAGAAAUUUGGAUUAAUACCCCAUGUGAUCUUGAUCCGGCAUCGGAUUAAGAUGAAAGAUUUAUUGUCUUGAGAUGGGUGUGCGUAUGAUUAGGUGGUUGGUUGAGGUAACGGCUCACCAAGCCUUCGAUCAUUAACUGGUGUGAG
rnacentral:rRNA from 1 species